UUAAAUUGAAGAGUUUGAUCAUGGCUCAGAUUGAACGCUGGCGGCAGGCCUAACACAUGCAAGUCGAACGGUAACAGGAAACAGCUUGCUGUUUCGCUGACGAGUGGCGGACGGGUGAGUAAUGUCUGGGAAACUGCC
rnacentral:rRNA from 8 species